rnacentral:lncRNA from 1 species
ACUAAAAAUACAAACAUCAGCCAGAUGUGGUGGCGUAUGCCUGUAGUCCCAGCAACUCGGGAGGCUGAGGUGCUGAGGUGGGAGGAUUGCUUGAGCCCAGCAGGCCAAGGCUGCAGUGUGCUGUGAUUGUGCCACUACUUUCCAGCCUGGAUGAUAGAGCUGGACCCUGUCUUGAGUGACUUUGAUUUCUUUUAGGGCUAUAAAUUCUACAAAAUUCAGAGAUGAUUUUGUAAUGAAAAGUGCUGUUGUAUCAUAAUUCUGAUUAUUUAUAAAUCAAGAUUGGAGUAAUUUGAGGGUCUUUGACUUGUGAAAAUGCAGGAAACAUGAGUAGCUAUUUGGGGAUCUGCCUUUUGUGUUAAGUCUCGAGCCCUUGGCCUGAGCCUGCCCUGUGCUGCUUCCUGCCUCUACCCAGGAUGCUCUGCGCAUACUGCACCAACACUUUGCCUCUCGAGGGCCUGGAGGCACAAGGAUGGCCGGGGCACUCAACUUCCCUCUCCUCAACGUUUGGAAGUAAAUUAGG